AUUGAACGCUGGCGGAAUGCUUUACACAUGCAAGUCGAACGGUAACAGGUCUUCGGAUGCUGACGAGUGGCGAACGGGUGAGUAAUAUAUCGGAACGUGCCCAGUCGUGGGGGAUAACGUAGCGAAAGUUACGCUAAUACCGCAUACGAUCUAGGGAUGAAAGCGGGGGAUCGCAAGACCUCGCGCGAUUGGAGCGGCCGAUAUCAGAUUAGGUAGUUGGUGGGGUAAAGGCUCACCAAGCCAACGAUCUGUAGCUGGUCUGAGAGGACGACCAGCCACACUGGAACUGAGACACGGUCCAGACUCCUACGGGAGGCAGCAGUGGGGAAUUUUGGACAAUGGACGCAAGUCUGAUCCAGCCAUUCCGCGUGCAGGAUGAAGGCCCUCGGGUUGUAAACUGCUUUUGUACGGAACGAAAAGGUCUCUCCUAAUACGAGGGGCUCAUGACGGUACCGUAAGAAUAAGCACCGGCUAACUACGUGCCAGCAGCCGCCGUAAGAC
rnacentral:rRNA from 1 species